rnacentral:rRNA from 1 species
AACGCGAAGAACCUUACCUACUCUUGACAUCCAGAGAACUUAGCAGAGAUGCUUUGGUGCCUUCGGGAACUCUGAGACAGGUGCUGCAUGGCUGUCGUCAGCUCAUGUUGUGAAAUGUUGGGUUAAGUCCCGCAACGAGCGCAACCCUUAUCCUUUGUUGCCAGCGAUUAGGUCGGGAACUCAAAGGAGACUGCCAGUGAUAAACUGGAGGAAGGUGGGGAUGACGUCAAGUCAUCAUGGCCCUUACGAGUAGGGCUACACACGUGCUACAAUGGCAUAUACAAAGAGAAGCGACCUCGCGAGAGCAAGCGGACCUCAUAAAGUAUGUCGUAGUCCGGAUUGGAGUCUGCAACUCGACUCCAUGAAGUCGGAAUCGCUAGUAAUCGUGGAUCAGAAUGCCACGGUGAAUGCGUUCCCGGGUCUUGUACACACCG